ACAAACUUGGUCAUUUAGAGGAAGUAAAAGUCGUAACAAGGUCUCCGUUGGUGAACCAGCGGAGGGAUCAUUAAAGAGUUUUCUACAACUCCCAAACCCCUGUGAACAUACCUUUUGUUGCCUCGGCAGGCCUCGCCUACCUUGUAGUGCCCCUACGCUGUAGGGGCCUACCUGGGGAGUGCGGGGGGGCCCUGCCGGCGGCCCGCGAAACUCUGUUUAGCACUGAAUUCUGAACAUAUAACUAAAUAAGUUAAAACUUUCAACAACGGAUCUCUUGGUUCUGGCAUCGAUGAAGAACGCAGC
rnacentral:misc_RNA from 1 species